AGUCAAGCGAAUAAGAGCUUACGAUGGAUACCUUGGUGUUCAGAAGCGAUGAAGGGCGUGGCUACCGACGAUAUGUUUCGGGGAACUGGAAGCAAGUUUUGAUCCGAAAAUACCCGAAUAAGGAAACUUCAAGAACUACUUCUUGAAUCAAAUAGAGAAGAAAGAGCAAACCUAGUGAAUUGAAACAUCUUAGUAACUAGAGGAAAAGAAAGCAAAAG
rnacentral:rRNA from 1 species